UACGAAAGGUGCAAGCGUUACUCGGAAUCACUGGGCGUAAAGCGCACGUAGGCGGACUCGCAGGUCAAUUGUGAAAUACCCGGGCUCAACCUGGGAACUGCAGUUGAAACCGCUUGUCUUGAGUACCUGAGAGGGUGGGGGAAUACCUGGUGGAGAAGUGAAAUUCGUAGAGAUCAGGUGGAACACCGGAGGCGAAGGCGCCUGCCUGGCAGUGUAUUGACGCUGAGGUGCGAAAGUGCGGGGAGCAAACAGG
rnacentral:rRNA from 1 species